rnacentral:rRNA from 1 species
ACCCGCUGAACUUAAGCAUAUCAGUAAGCGGAGGAAAAGAAACUAACUAGGAUUCCCCGAGUAGCGGCGAGCGAAAGGGGAGAAGCCCAGCGCCGAAGCCCGCGGCCCCAUGGCCGCCGUGCAAUGUGGCGUUUCGGCGCGGCCGCGCCGCGUCCGCUCUGGCACGUGUACCUCUGAAUGGGUCUGCCCGUAGCGGGUGUCAGGCCUCUAACUGCCAGGUGAGCGGGCGCGGCAAGGACGACGUCGCGGAGUCGGGUUGCUUGAGAGUGCAGCCCAAAGUGGGUGGUAAGCUCCAUCUAAGGCUAAAUACCUAGUGCGAGACCGAUAGCAAACAAGUACCGUGAGGGAAAGUUGCAAAGAACUUUGAAAAGAGAGUUCAAGAGUACGUGAAACCGUUCAGAGGCAAACGGACGGAACUGGGCGAGUUCGUCGCCGCCAUUCAGCCGGUGCGCCGCGCUUGCGCGGUGGUGCCGGUGCACUUGGCGGCGGCGGAGCGCGACGACCGCCUGUCGGGUCGUCAGAAGCCCGGCGGCAAGGUGGCGACGCGCUCGCGCGUCGUGUUACAGGCCGCCGCGGCGUUGGCUGACCUGGCGGGCGAGGAGCGCCUGCGGUGCGCUCCCCUCCCCUCGCGGGGAGCGGGAGUGGCCCGACGUGGUGGGCUUGCGGACGCCGGCGACAAACUGCUCGCAGUUUGAUGUCGCGCGCGCCGUCUGUCGCGCCGCGCGGUGCCACGUGUCACGCAGGGUCCGGGUCGUGUGGUUCCUGGCACUCCGUCCGACCCGUCUUGAAACACGGACCAAGGAGUUGAGCACGCGCGCGAGUCGAUGGGCUCGAAGAACCCCAGUGGCGCAGCUAAGGCAAAACGGGCGUGAUCCGGCACUGGCGUGUCGGCGCAACGCCGGCCCGCGGCCGACUCGACGCGAGUGGCCGCGGCGCAAGAGCGCGCGUGCUCAGACCCGAAAGGUGGUGAACUAUGCUUGAGCAGGGCGAAGCCAGAGGAAACUCUGGUGGAGGCUCGCAGCGAUCCUGACGUGCAAAUCGGUCGUCAAACUUGAGCAUAGGGGCGAAAGACUAAUCGAACCGCCUAGUAGCUGGUUCCCUCCGAAGUUUCCCUCAGGAUAGCUGGCACUCGGGAUAAAUGGUUUUAUCCGGUAAAGCGAAUGAUUAGAGGCAUUGGGGACGAAACGUCCUCAACCUAUUCUCAAACUUUAAAUGGGUAAGAGGCGCGGCCCUUCCUGAUCGGGGUCGCGUGCUCGAACAGAGAGUGCCCAGUGGGCCGUUUUUGGUAAGCAGAACUGGCGCUGUGGGAUGAACCAAACGUGCGGUUAGGGUGCCUAACGCACGCUCAUGAGACACCACAAAAGGUGUUGGUUGAUAUAGACAGCAGGACGGUGGCCAUGGAAGUCGGAAUCCGCUAAGGAGUGUGUAACAACUCACCUGCCGAAUCAACUAGCCCUGAAAAUGGAUGGCGCUGGAGCGUGCGACCCAUACCGCACCGUCGGGGCAACGCGUGCGAAAUGCCAGGCCCCGACGAGUAGGAGGGCGUGUCGGUGGCGUUGAAGCGUAGUGCGCGAGCACGCGUGGAGCCGCCUUCAGUGCAGAUCUUGGUGGUAGUAGCAAGUAUACAAAUGAGAACUUUGUAGACCGAAGUGGAGAAGGGUUCCAUGUGAACAGCAGUUGGACAUGGGUCAGUCGGCCCUAAGAGAUCGGAGAAUUCCGUUCUGAACGGGGGACACGCGUCGCCGUGCCCGCCGCCGAUGUGCACUCACAAACACAUAUAAGGUAAACAAACACGCGCAUGUCAGAAGAGCACGAGCCGAGAGGCGAGGACGGCCGCGCGCCCCCACGCUCUCGAUCGCUCUCUCGCACUCUCUCCCCGAAGCGCGCGCCGGCAUCCCGGAAUUGACGGACCCGGAAUUGACGGACAGCGGUGCCGCGCGCGGGCGCGGACGGGAGGAGGCGGAGGCGACGAGCGGCGAGGCGGAGCGCGCGCGACGUACCGCGCCGCCAAUUGACGGUGUCGAGCAGUGCUGCGCGAAAAGAGUGCACACGGCGGGCGGGGCACGGGCGUUCGCGCCAGUCGACCCCGAUGCGAUCGAAAGGGAAUCGGGUUAAUAUUCCCGAACCUGGCAGUGGAGAUUGGGCCCUCGGGCCCCAGUGCGGUAACGCAACCGAACUCGGAGACGCCAGCGUCGAUCCCGGGAAGAGUUCUCUUUUCUUUGUUAGGAGCGGACUCCCUGGAAUUGGCUUGUCCAGAGAUAGGGACGUUGCAUCCGUAAAGCGUCGCGCCUCACGCGGCGUCCGGUGCAUCGGCGUUGGCCCUUGAAAAUCCGAGGGAGGCAGUGUAAUUUUCACUCCAGGCCGUACCCGAAUCCGCAGCAGGUCUCCAAGGUGAACAGCCUCUGGUCGAUAGAACAAUGUAGGUAAGGGAAGUCGGCAAAUCCGAUCCGUAACUUCGGGACAAGGAUUGGCUCUGAGGUGCGGGCUGCUUCGGGUCGCG